rnacentral:tRNA from 1 species
CGGGAAGUAGCUCAGCUUGGUAGAGCACUUGGUUUGGGACCAAGGGGUCGCAGCUUCGAAUCCUGUCUUCCCGAUCA